rnacentral:tRNA from 2 species
CAGUAGCUCAGUGGUAGAGCAAUCGGCUGUUAACCGAUCGGUCGUAGGUUCGAGUCCUACCUG